rnacentral:rRNA from 1 species
AUGUUCCAUGCUAAAGGAUUCGGGUCCAUAACCACGAGUUCCGGUGCACUAAAUCUUGUAGCACUUAGCAACGAAGCCCUAUCCAUUAGUAUUCCACAUAAGAAAUCCAUUUUAGAAAAAAAAAAUACAAUUAGAUUAGCUCUUCAUAGACAAACUUAG